UGACGGUUCGUUGCUUCUAACCUUAUCCAUAAUUACUCUCCUACGAUGAAUCGGGUGACAAAAGAGACUGUAACCCAUAUUUUUGAGUUUAUGCUCGUCUUGAUUCCACGAAGGACUACAUACUUCUAUGACAUUGUUGGAACUUACAUUAAGAGAAUACACAUUAAGGAAGGACUUCCCGUAUUCAUUAUAAACACACAUGGCAUUUGCAGACACUUUUGGACUCACUUUUGCUGCAUCAUUUGAUGAUCGAACUCCCCUACGAUGAUGCGAUGUUACUAUCUCAACUUUUGGCAAUACGUAGCUUGGUAUCUGAAUCAUCCUUUGGCAGCUCCUCAAGAACAAACGUUGGAGCCCAACAAGAUUUCCAAAUGUGAAAGGCAAUUGGUAUAGGUCAGUCUCAUCUAAAUAAACAUCUUUUAAAUUCUCCAUCACUCCUAGUACUUCUGGAAAGCUCGCAAGACGCGAGCAACCUCUAAGAUCUAAUUUCUCUAGAGAUGGCAAGUUCAUGCAGGGAACCAAACUUUCUAGUUGGAUGCAUCCUUUAGCACUUAAUAACACAAGUUUGUCAAGAAACCCAACUGAAUCAUGGAUUUUAAAUAAGUUAGUGCAGUAGUCAAGCCAUAAUGACUUCAAAUUUGGUACUCUAGAUAAGCUAGGUAUUUCAGUUAGGAACUUGCAGUCUUCAAAAUCAAGAAAGCUCAAUGUCUCAAAAACCUACACACACAAAAAUGGGAAAUCAAAUUCUUGGGUUACAACUGGACAUAAAUAUUAGUUUAAGGCCAACAAAACAUGCUCGGGUAUUACUUUUGUGUGUGAAAAGAAUACAUACAUUGAGUGAUUUGAACCGUUUAAGGCAACUGUCACGCAGGCUAUGUAUUACAAGAUUCUUGGGAUUAAAAUCAAAUGGUAAGGAGAAUGAUUCAUAUCCACUCCAAUCAAGCACUCUCAAACUAUUUGGAAGAAUUUGAGGAUCUAUGGAAAAUCCUGCGUUUCGAAUUAUUAGAAUUCUCAAGUUCUUCAUCUGCCCGAAGGCUUUUCCACACCAUUUCACUUUUCUGUCUUUGUGCAAGUUGGUGAUUAUGACUUCAAUUGUAUCAGUUCCCUAUGAUUUUUAAAUAACAAAUCAAACACAAAUUAAAUGUUGAGAAUUAAUCAUCUACUUAUUGUGUUGUAUUCAAAAACUUCUAAAUUAUAAAGUUCUUUUCAGGUAGUAGUAAUAAACUUCAUUAAACGUUUGUACAUGAAAAUUGAAAGCUAACAAUCCAAUAAACUAAUACAUACCAAUCUAAAUGUAUAAAUAUUCUCACUAUCAUACCUUGUUUUCUUCCAAAACAUGAAAAAUGUCAUCACUAAACCAUAAUCUACUGCGUCUUCCAGGCUCCAACGUUGAUUCCUGCCUCACAAUUUCUCUGCCCAUGCCUUGAAUCAAGUCAUGCAUUCUCACACAACUAUUGGCAUCAAUUUUAAUCAGAGAUUUGUCAGUUAGCACUUGUAUGCCAUCAUCCGCAUGAAAACCAUGUAAGUAUAGUAAUUCUUUGACAUAGCCUAUUUUAUAAGAAUUGAAGAAACAAGCUAUGUCUAGAAAAAUACCCUUCUCAUCUUCAUCCAAAUCAUCAUAGCUAACUUUAAGAAUUUCAUGGAUGUCUUUACGAAGGACUCUUUCAUAUUUAUCUAGCGAAGAUUUCCAUACAUCUAAACUUUUACCAAAGAAGCGAGAACCUAUCACCUCCAAAGCCAAGGGAAGACCAUGACAAUAAGAUACUGUGCGUUUUGCAAUAUCCACAUAACAUGGAUCAAUUUUUUUUAUUUUUAAAUGCAUGCAAACUAAAUAAUUCAAAAGCCUUUUCAUUUUUUAGCUCUUUAACCUUGUACACUUUCACAAUCCCAUGAGUUGCCAGCAAAUGCUUGUCUCUUGUAGUGAUGAUUAUCUUGGUGCCAAGUCCAAACCAAUCAUGUCCUCCUGCAAGUGCCCGUAAAUGCUCCACUUUGUCCACAUCAUCAAGAAUCAAAAGGACUUUCUUUCUUUGAAGCCUUCUUUUAAUUAUUGAAAUUCCUCUAUAAACAUCUCCCACUUUAAUAUCUUUCUCCCCAAGUAUUUCAGAAAGUAGUGUUUCUUGGAGAUGAGCUAGACCAUGAUUAAUCGCCCUCUCUCUUAUGCCAGCAAGAAAACACACACUUUCAAAUUGGUCAACAAUCAAGUUAUGCACAGCACGAGCAGUUGUUGAUUUGCCUAUUCCGCCGAUUCCAUAAAUGCCUACCGUGUUUGUUCUCUCAUCAGACCCAAGUCCUAGUAGAGAUGUCACUUCUAAUAUCCGAGACUCCACCCCAACUGGGUAGUUUGCAACAUGGAAAGGAAUACAUCUGAUCCUUAUAGAAACCUCUUCAACUAUCUUUCCAAUAAACUUAUAUUCUGAUUCAGACCUGCACAUACAUGUAAGUUGAAACAGAGUCAUUGAAUGUGCUCCAACCAAAAAUUAAUCUUAUAGCAAAUAAUUACUUCACAAUAUUACCUUUAACUAGAUUUAUAUAAUCCAUGCGAGAUUGCACGCACGAAUGUGGGGAAAAAUAAUGGAAAACAGAUGUUAUUAAACCUGAUUCAAAAUCCAUUUUUUUACUGAGAAUUAUAAUGUGAUUAAAAAAACCUGAAAAGUUAAAAAUAAUGAAAUUUAUAGUUGUACAAACAAAUGUAAGAUAAGGAUGGAAAAAAUAACAUGACCAACUUUUUUACAUUAGUGCUUGCUGAUUUUCUUUUUACACUUGAAAUAAAUUUGAUGAACCUUGACAGAGAAUACGAAAUUCCACCAUUUUCUUUUUGAUUCCUGUUGAAGGCUUUAAGAAGGAAAAUCAACUGAUCUUUCAUAUGGUAAACAAAAUAGAAAAGACUCAAAUAAAAAAUUCCAAAAUUACAUGCCUUUUCUGUUCUUAAUUAUGGUUAUAUCAUGGAAAAAGUCUACUAAAACAAUAUGUCAAACACUACAAACAAAGCAUAGUAAAAAAAUUGAACAUGUGAUUUAUCGUUGUCGGAGAGACAGUAUACAAUAAAAUCCAAAGCUACAAUUUUUAUUAGACUUUAGAUGAAUUGUAUAUUUCUUCAAUCAUACGAACACAUAUACAUUGGAAUAAUUAGAUAGAAUAAGAGAGGUAGAAUUUUUUUUAGAUACUAAAAUAUGCAAUAUAUGUAAGUUAUGUUGUCACCACCACAAAAGCGACCUUAAUAUUCUUGAAAAGAAUCUUGUCUUACUUGUAAUUAACACGAAACUAACAAUAAGAAGGACUACAUGAUUGCAACGAAGGACAUCAUGAUUUCUUGCCUAUGCAAUUGAAAAGAUUGUUGUCUGACCUAUGUUGGGGUGCCUUGUCUAUACUUGCUUACCUCUAGAUUUCUACAAAGACGCCAUGUUAAGAAGGUAGGGUAGAUGGUUGAAAAAAUAGAACACUAUAUAUAUACUAAAAGAAUUACAACAUUUGGUUUUCAAUUAGUGAAAUAAAUAUGUGAACUAAAAGGUUGGUGUGUAAUUAAAAUCUAAUAUGCAAAUGAAAGGUCUCAUAGAAAAAAUAAAUAGUGAACAUGCUCUUCAUUUUCAUAAUAAAAAAAGCUGCAUUCAAGUGAAAGAAAAAACUGUACCAUUAAUUUACGUUAUUUGUGACUUACCAAUUGUCAUUGAACCUCCAUCAUGCUUGGUUACUAACUUUUUUUUUUUAUUUAUAAUAUUGGUUACCAACUUCUAAUAUAGCCUUUUGGUUUAAUAUUUUUUUUCUUUUCAAAAUUGACACUAUAUGAAGAUCACUUGAUUUAAGACAUGAAUGAUUAGCUUUGAUAUCAUUUUAUACGUAAGUUCUGCUCUUUUUUUUUCCAAGGUAAAAUACAUGUGGGAAGUUAGUUUGUAAUUGGUAGAUGAAAAAAUAGAUAGUGGGAAGUUACAAAGUUCAAUUUGGCAAGUUACAUAAUAAAUAUAAGAAUGAAUUUUUUUUUGGUUACCUUUGAUUUUUUUUUUCUGGUUUAUAAGAAUGAAUAUAUAUAAAUAUUUAGUAAAGAGAAAACCACAUGGUGAAUGCUUAUAGAAAAUAAGUUAGAAAAUGGACAUUUGUGAGAUGACAUAUAAGCAAAGUGUAGCAUAGAAUAUAUAUAUAUAUAUAUACUAAGGCACGGGUUUGUUUAAAUUUUGUAACAUAAAUGAAAAGAAAAUGUUGGUCAUUUUUUAUUUUUAAAAUAAGAUUAUUUUUGCAAAGAUUUUUUUUAAUUUUGGAGUUGGGUUUGAUGAAGCAAAAGCGCAUUUGCAUGCUAUUAGAUGUAAAUUUACCUUGAUUUUAAGUAGUUAAGAAUUAGAGAUUAUAUGUUAAAGUUGUUUUAUGUCAUGAUUUAAAGGAAAACGUGAUUUACUGGCCGCCUAUCUAAAGAGACACUAACCAUAUUUAAAGAUUAAUGUGUCUGAGUGGAUAGAAAUGAAAAGAAUGAAAGUGUACAUGACAAUAAAAAAAUUAAAUAAAGAUUUAAGGUAAAAAACUUGGAUUUUACCUUGUAGGCCUAUAUUUUAAAGGUAAAAAAUUCAAAAUUACCAAUAACAUAUGUUCCAUCCUAAAAAGUUAGCAUAUAUUCUAUCAAAAUUAAAUAGUGACUUUUUUAAAAUAAAAAAAUACAAACACAUAAAAAGGGAGUUUUUUCACAUUAAAAAAAUAUAAAAGGAAUUGAAAAAAAAAACACAACUCAAACCCUAAAAACAUUAAAUUUUUUAAAUCAUAAAAUCCGUCUACCCAAUCUGAACUCUGCAUGUUAUGAUUGACAGUUUCCAAGGCUAAAUCAAUCCUUGAUCCGUAUUCACCAUCAUAAACGAUGUCGGCGGUGUUAUUGUCGUAGAUUGCUCUCUGUUGAUGUCGAGUGAACGAACCAUGGUUCCACUACAUAACUGUUGAGCACCGAGAAGUAGGUGAUCUCAACAUGUAAUCAUUGGUAAGAGCGAGAAAUCCAUCCCUUUUUUUAUGAAUCAUUUCCCUCUUCUUUUUUUUUCUUCAUUUGUGGGUUAUUUUUCGUUGAGCUCUCACUUGAAUCCAUUUCUGAGUUCGGCAACAAUUGUCCUCCCACUAUUGUUGUAUAGAUGGUGUUCCUUGUAGCUCAAUGAAGCUAUGCAUAUAACCCGUGCGUUGUAGAGAUUUCAAUAGAGUUAUGUAACUUUUUUUAGAUGUUAAACAUUAUGUCAGUGUUUUUUUCAAGAAGAAUUUUAAUUAGUUUACAAUAAAGUUAGUUAAAUAUUAAUAAGGAAAAAUGUGUCAUUUAUAUUGGUCUUGAUAUGAGAGCAAUAAGCACAAAGAGGCUUGAAUAUUAUUUCUUUUUUAGUAUAAAGGAUGGCCAUAUGCCCAAUUAUUUUUUUAAUCUUUCUUAUUUAACUAAUUUUGUAAAGGAUAAAACAUAUUAAGAAGUGUUACUUGAAAUUACUUUUGUUAUUAUAGUUAUUAGAUAGAAUAAGAAAGAGUGAGAAGUUAUAAGAUAUGUGAGAAGAUUUUUUUUAUAUGUGAGAAUGUUUUUUGAAAAAGGAAUUACACUUGAUGAACAUUAAAAUCCACUUCAAAAUUCAUCCAAGAGUUGUAUUAGGUAAUAGAGUUUUUGUUGGCUACUAUAUUAGAUAGAAUAAUAGUCGUGAAACUUGUUUAGUUCUUACACAUUAUGACAAUAUUUUCUGAAGAACAACCAAAUUUAGUUUACAAAGAAUUUAACUAAAUACUAAUAAAAAAAUGUGCAACAUAUAUUGGUCUUGAUAUGAGAACGAUAAGCUCAAAAAGCCUUCGAUAUUAAUUUUUUUAAUCUUUUUUUUAUAUCCUUUUUUUAAUUUAUUCAUUUACUCUUAUUAAAUUAAUUUAAUGAAUGGUAAAUAAUAACAACAAAUUUAUUAAGAAGGAAUGAUAAGUUUUGUAACUUAAAAUUGCUUGCAUUCUCAUAAUUAUUAGAUAGAUAUAUUAGAUAGAAUAAGAAAGGGUGAGAAGUUAUACUAUAUUGAAGAAUAUAUUUUUAGAGGUGGCACAUAUGCAUAAUUAUAACUUCAGAAUAAUGAAUGACUCAAGUUUAGUUUAUGGGAAGGUCUUGAGGUGCCACAUCAACAUCAUCACAAUUUUGUACCCAAAUUUACUUUUAAUUUUAAGAAACUCAAUUGAUGGAAAGUAUGAAUGUCAAUCAAUUCCAUAGUCAAGGGUUAAAUUUCCUUGUUGCCGCGUUCAAAUCAUCAAAACAUGACUUUGUCUCUCUAAUUUCAGAAAGAUCAAGAGCGUUUCAUUAGAGUUUUGAGUAGAUAUGUGAUUCUACGAUUAGUUACCGAGGCAUUGAUGCUUUUUUUUUUUUUAAAGAAGGCAUUCAUGCUAAUAACUCUUAUAAGAAACUAUUCAAUUAAAAACAUAACACACGGGCUUGGAAUGAAAAUGAAUAAAAAAUAUUACUUUUUUAAUGCAUUUUUAAUAUGUUCCCUUCCACUUCUUUAUUAGAUUCUUGAUCUUAUAACAAUGUUAAAUAAAAAAUAAAAAAUAAAAACUUUAAUUUCAAUGAAAACAACCACCUUUUCAUAUAUGAAGUGCACUCUCAACAAAACCCUCCAUUUUCUCAAAACUUAUGUAUGUGAAAUCAAAGAAAGGAUAUUCAUUAGAGAAAACAAAAAAUUAUAGAAAUAGACAUAUACGAAGCUUGAACAGAAAAUCAGAACUAUCAAAAAAUGAAAUGGAAGAAGAAAAUGAGAAGCUUUGUAGUAAACUUGUGUGUGUAAGAGGAUAGAAUAAAAAUAUAUUAUAAUGCAUUCAUUGUACAACUUGCAUGAAGUGAAGUAAAUGCAGUGCUUUUGCAAAAAGAAAAUAAAUAUAGACAUAAGCAAUUAUCAUUACAUUUCAUAACGUUUCAUUAACUAAUUAAAAGUAACUUUUUAGUUUUUUUUAAUUUUUUCUUCUUCAGAAAUAUAAACUAUUUGGUCAACCUAAAAGUAACUUGAGUCUCUAUUAAGUCAUAAAACCAAUGAAUAGCCAAGAGAUGAUAAGUAAAAAAUAGAAAAGAAAUAUAAUACCAAAUUGAAAGGUACCAUCCAAUAUUUUCUUAGAAAAAUUAAUGAUGAACAACCAUUUUUUAUAAACUUCUUCAUGAGUAACAACAGUGCAACAAAAUAAAAAAUAGAAUAAUUAUCUAUCCUAUUUUCCUAAUGCACAUAAAAAAUUUCCACAUACACAUUAAGGAAUAAAAGAAAAUAUAAAAGAAAGUUGGAAAAAUAGACUAACAAACAUUAUAUAAAAAAAAUAUAGCUUAAAUAUUUGACCAAUCUAAAAGUAAUUUGACUCCCUAUCAUGCCAAAGAAACAAUUAAUAAUCAAGAGAUGAAGAGUUAAAAUGAGUGGAAAAAACAGUAAUACAAUAUUGAAGAUGAACUAACCAAUUGUUGCUUGAAUGUGGUGAUGAACAAAACCCAAAAUUUGGUGCACAAAAUCACAUAUUUAUACACACAAUGUUUCUCAAUGACAUGAUAGUAAAAAACAUGAUAUAAGAUUAGAACAUUUAGAUAGCAUGGUAGAGGAAAAGUGUAGAAAGAUGGUUUGGUGUUAUUGACAUCAAUAGUAGACAUGGUGGAAAAGUCAAGAAAAAAUGAGGUAAAUGAUAAAAUUGAUCAUCAAAUAUUACAGAAUGAGCAGAAAAGGAAUGAGAUUUGCGUUGGUUAUCAUAUAGGUGAAAGGGAAAAAGGGAAAUAUGGAUGAGCUAAAAUGUAACAUCUUUUUAACCUUUAUGUGGAAGAAUGUAAACAGACAAAUUCAAUGGAGAUGGUGUAAAUAUUAUAACAAAUAAUCAAUGUUUUUAAAAAAUAGUAGUUGAAGGGGUUAUAAGAAUGAAGGAUGUAAAAGUUCUUUCUUAUUAAGAUUGCAAUUGAUUAGUGUAACUCUUUUUAUCAAAAUUAUUAUGUAUAAUGGCUUGAAGUGACACAUAAGCAAAGUAGUAGAAUGAUCAAGAAUAAAAGUUAGAAAGAGGAUCAUUGGUGAAGUGACAUGUAAGCAAAAUGUAGGUUAGAAUACAUGUAUAAUAUAUAUAUAUAUAUAUAUAUAUAUAUAUAUAGAGAGAGAGAGAGAGAUAGAGAUGUCUAUGUCUACACAUUUGACGAUUUAUUGUAGGCACUACUUUUGUUUUGGUACUAGCCACUACUCACACAUUGUACUAUUGAUUGAUGAAAAAUAAUAAUUAGUAGACUGAUCAGUUGUAAUUUUUAUUACUUAUUAUUGUCUUAUUUUGCGAUCAUUGUCUAUAUAAAUAUGUGAUUUAGGAUCAUCUUUAUUUUCUCGAAGAAAUUCUUAGGGGGUAUUUUUCAAUGUAUAUUGUGAGAGUUAACUUAAAAUUAGGUUUUUACAGAAUCGUGGCACGAUUGAAGCGCAAACGUGGCACGAUGGAUGUUUUAGUUUUUUAGGCAAGGUACUGGAAAAAUCGUGGCACGAUGGGGUCGCAUCGUGGUACGAUGGUGCGCUGGCAGAUAAAAAUAAAACGUAUUUUUGGGUGCAAAUUUGUUACAGAUUUUAAGCAGAUUUGUUACAGAUUUUAAGCGAAACUUUUACUAUAAAUAUAGACCUUUUAUCAGAGCAGAGAGAGAGAGAUAGAGUGUUGAUUCACCUUGGAAACACUAUUAGGGUUGAGUCUCUUGGUUACGGGAAGAGAUUGGGGCUUUGGGUAGAAUUAGGCGGGAGACUUAUUCUUGUAACCCAUUGAUUUGUCUUUGAAACGUUACUCAUCAUAUAGUGGAUCGGAGGGCUGCUCUCUCCCCCAGACUAGGUCAAUUUGGACCGAACUGGGUCAACAAAUUCUUUUGUGUUCUCUAUUCUUUUUCUUCUUGCUGUUGUUGUUUUCUACUUUUGGCUUGUGAUUAUAACUGUUCCAUACACUUUGUUUGGUUGCUUGUUUAUCCCUUGCUCCACACAUCAAGUUGUUAUUGGUGUGAUUUUUCUCGUCGAAUUCGCAACAAUUGGCGCUCACCGUGGGGCAAGGGUCAAAGGAUAAUUAAGUACCAUGGGUUCAAAGUGGGAUAUUGAGAAGUUUACCGGUAAUAACGAUUUUGGGUUAUGGAAGGUAAAGAUGGAAGUGGUGUUAAUUGAUAGAUAAUUGGCAAGUGUACCAAUAACUAUCGAAGUAGUAAUAAAUAUCGUUCCACAAGGACUGUAUUAAUUCCAAUUAUAGCAGGUACGUUAUUAAUUUAGGAUAUGUAAAAGUCAUAUUGAUUGCCCUAGGCAGAUGAUUUUUCGUAUACAAAAAAGCAAAUAAAGAUUGUUUGCAAAGAUGAUUGAGAAGAAUGAUUAAGCCGAUGAAUCCCCUACUGUUCUAUAUGAGUAAUUACCUCCCUUAUUUACUUAUUACUAUUCAUUCUUUACGACGAAUUAACAAAUUGGUUUUGAUCAAUCUCUUGAAUCAAAACCCUUUCCUAAGUUAUAACCUUUUAAUCUCUUAAACCGAUUGAAUAACUGCGGAAGCGAUAAAUAACGUUAAUUCAUAUGUCAUGAUUCUCAAUUUCCUAUCUCUAGGUUCCUAUGUUGAAUCAAACAGAAUUACUAAUUCAGGAUUAAAAGCUAGGGUUAAGAGUCAUUCAAUUCCUAAUAUCAAUUCAUAUAAUUCAAGAAGCUAGGGUUAAUAGUCAUCCGAGCAAUUAUAUGAAAAGCAAUGAACACAAAUAAUUCUGAAUAAAGACUGAAUAAUAUUAUUAAAUAAGAGAGUAUCAACUACUAAUUCAUAUAUUACAACGGUUCAUCAUGGCUCAAUCAUACCGAGAGUUUAGCUACUCAUGGUUUUACGAUUAAUAACAUAAUUGACAGUGAACAUACAUAAUCAGGACCAACUAUGAGUUGGUAUGAGAUUCAGGGCUUGUCCUUCGGUCUUCUGAUGUCCUCUAUGCUCAAAAUCGUACUUCCCCCCGCAAACCCUAAUCCGUGGCCGCAUCUAGCCUUAUAUAGAAAGAUUUUACGAGUUCCAGAAAGCCCAUCAUCGUGCCACGAUACGAUCCAAUCGUGGCACGAUAGCAUCAUUAAUCCUACGUGGCAGCAGACAAAACCUAGCAUCGUGGAACGUUGCGAUUUACUUCGUGCCACGAAAUUUCCAGUGCUGAACCUUUGUCCCACGUUCACUUAUCGUGCCACGAACCAGCUUCAUCGUGGCACGAUUCUAUAUUCUUAGGAAUUUUCCAUCUUUUUCUCAGUUCCGUCUUUUGAGCUCCUGUUCCUGUUUUGAUAUGAUUUCACCAUGAUUUACAAAUAGUUGACUCUCUUAAUGUCCUAAAAAUGACAAAACAUAACUAAAAGCUAGUGUUGAUGCAACAUCAUCACAACCCCAAACUUAAACUAUUCUUUGUCCUCAAGGAAUGAAAUUGCAAAUGGAAAAAUUGCAGUAAUAUAACAGAUUACCAACCAAUGACAUGUUCAAAAGUUCACGCCUUUCCGGUGUAAUGAUAUACCGGAUGCCUAGCUCAUACCACAAUUUCCACAACUCCACGCAAAUGUUUGAAUAGGUACUCUCAAUCAUCAUGCAGGUCCGCUGUAUUACCAUAAGCUUGAAACAUUUCUAAACUGUCAAUCAAAGUCAAAAUUAAGUACACACUUUAAAGGUCUUUUCGGGGUUAUAACGGGGCUUAGGUGGAAGGUGGAUUUAUUUUGGAAAGUAGUUUGACAACAAUGAAGUUAAGCUCAUCCUACUUGGAUCACUGAGAACACACCACACUAAUCUCCUUUACAACUUUAAAACAAGAGAAUACUAGAGAACUUUUCUAUUUUUUCGAGACAUAUAGAUCUUUUUGGUCUCUGAACAAUUUCCUUCUUUUUUUUUUUUUUCUGCACAUGUAACAAGUGCCUUGCUAUUUUCUCUCUUUUUUUUUUUUUUUUUUUUUUUUUUAAAUAUGGUUUUAUCUUUGUUCUCUAGUAUCCCCUACCCCAAACUUAAUAAGUUGCUAAUACCAGAAGCAACCCCAAACUUGCACAUUUCACACAACCUAAAAGCUUAACUUCAAAGAAAAUCUUGGGCAUUCUUCCUAAGGCUUCUAGGUUUGUAACAUGGCUCGUCACCGAAAAGAAAAAAGAUCUAUACCUAAAGGCUCAAAUUGGCUUAACAAAGGGUAUUUGAACAAUUAUAUCAAGGUAGGCUCAAAAAGGCUCGAGGUACCAAGCACUUGCCUUAGUGUGUACAAAACAAUGACCAAUCAACACAUAGAGCAAUAUCUCAAGUUCUAGAAACAGCAGUUGCAUGGAACACUCAUAUAUGUAAAAUUGAAAAAAAAUAAAAAUGUGGCCAUGAACCUUACAAGUUGAGGUAUCUGGAAGUUGUGGUGACCUAAUUCCUUGCUGUACACUUCCCUUUGACAUAUUAGGCAUCAUCCUCCUUUGAACUUUUGAGAUAUCAUUGGUACAGCAUUGUUAUGAGACUGAUAAGUUUCCAAAAACAAACAGAUUCAUUAAUAAUAAACAAAGAAAAACAUACAAGCUUAAGGAUUAAACAAGUGAUGCAUCUACCCAAUGUCUGCAAAAAUUAAAAAGUUCAUAGAAAUAAAGAAAGCUGAAAAGGCAAUCAUAAACUCCAAAACCCAUCACUGCUCAUCCUCAGAGUUUCCUUCAAUGUCAGCAUAGAAUUGACUAGCCCUCUGCUCACUUGCUGCCUUCCCUCGUCCGUAGUCAGCUCUGACACGCUGCUCCCUAGCUUGAGCUCGUCCUCUUUGAUCAACAAAAUAGGUCUCCAUGGCCUCUUCGGUACUAAAUCUCUCAAAUGCAUUUCCUUGGAGAGGCAUCUGACGGUGCUGAUCAGCAGCAAGAGAAAGUUCCGCUCCAAAAUAAGGCCCGUUCACAUAAAGCUCGGAUGAAGUGUCUUGUGCCCAGUUAGCCAUACCACAUAUGUAAUCGUGCAACAUUGGGUGUAGUGGUGGGUGUUGUGGUGCAUCCUCUUGCAUAGGCUGAACCUGCUGAGGUUCACGACGACCUUGCCUAGCUAACUCCCUCUCAAACUUUGUCAUAGCUGUAUCAUCAAUGUCUCCUUUAGAAUUAAACAUUAUGUCCCCUCGUUCCACCGGAACCUCCUUAGCUUGACACAAUGCAUUAAUUAGGCAGCAAUGACCCAAAGUCACAGAAGAGCCACAAUUAGCCAUUUGUUGAAUACUCAUGUUAAGCAGACGCCCCACAUUGAUUCCAUGGCCAAAAAUGAUAGCUUCCAAGAUAUACAAUCUCUCCAUGGGUAACUCAGAUGUAGCAGAUACACUUUCUAAGGUAGAAUGAAUGAAAGAAGCCCAUGCCUUGUACUCCGGUUUCAGAUCCACCACAUUCAUCCUAGUUGGAAAACCUGUUGCUCGUGAACGCACAUAAUCAACCCCUUGUUUCCCAAUUUCAGCCAAAAUUUGAGCCAACUCGUCAUCAGUAGGAAAAUUCCUAAUGCUUCUGGAUCUCCUCCAUUCGACAUGACACUCUGCUGGCUCCCUUAAACCCAACAAUUCAUUGAUUACUUCAGGACUGUAAUCAACCCUUUUACCUCUAACAACAGCCUUAUCAUCUUCCUUACCGUAAGCAUUAGCAAAGAAUUCAAGUGCUAUUGUACGGUUGCUUUCUUUGACCACCAUCCUGUUGAACCCUUUCCACCCUAAAGCAGUAAACUUCGUUUCAAACUGAGGAUACCUUUGCAAAUUGAUAAAAUCAAACUUCCUUUCGCCUGCAAACUUGUACCCCUUAAUUUUUUCAAACCGUUCUUCGCAUUGUGGAUCAGAAAAUUUCUCAUAGCCGGGUUGCUGUGUUGGUUGGGUUGAUUGGGUGUUGCGGGAUCCUCUGGUGCGUUUGGUGGAAGCCAUUUGUGGGGUUUGGGUAGGUUUGAGGAAAAUUGGUGGAUGAAUUUAUGGAUUUGUGGAGUUAGGGUUUGGCUUGAUUUAUGGUGAAAGAUGAAUUGUUUGUGAAAUUGAUAGGUUAUAUAAGGUCGGUAAUGAAGUUAAGGUGAGGAAUUGGUGAUGGGGCGAAAUUUGUGAGGAAAAUUGAAAAUUUUGGCAGAGUUUUGGUAGGGGAGAUUGGUUUGAAUGAGAAAUUUCGUGGAAUGAAUUUAUAGAGGCCAGAAAUCGUGCCACGAUACGGAUAUGUCGUGCCACGAUACCUUCUGUAACGGUCAAAAAUGUUUGAAAUUCCCAGUUCCGUGCCACGAUCAUAUACCCUUCGUACCACGAUCUUAGUUCUUCCAGCAAACGUGCCACGAUUUGAGAAAUUUCGUGCCACGAUAUUUCCAGUGGCUCUCCUCUUUUGGGAAGUUCUCAAAUCGUGCCACGAUGGACUUGACUUAGAGAAAAAAAAUUCUUUUCAACUUCUAAAAAAAAUAAAUUUUUUUUUUUUUUUUUUUUUUUAUAAAAGAAAUUGCCGUAAUUAAAUACAAAAGUAAAUAGAAAGAACUACCUGCGCGGAUCUAAGUCCGAUGGGUUGCCUCCCAUAAAGCGCUUCUUUAUCGUCACUAGCUUGACUUAUGACGACCCUAAGGAUCAUUCAGCACCACUCCCCCUUUGUUUGUAGGGAGUUCACCUCCGAGGUAUGGUUUUAUCCUCUGAGCAUUAACCUUAAAUGUCCCUGGUUCUCCAGGUUUACUCAGCUCCACAGCUCCAUAAGGAGAUAUACUCUCGAUCAUAAAUGGUCCAGACCACUUGGAUUUUAAUUUCCCGGGAAAUAGCUUCAACCUGGAAUUAAACAGCAAAACAAGUUGUCCAACAUAAAACUCUCUCCUCACCAGACCCUUGUCAUGAUACCUCUUAGUUCUCUCUUUGUAAAUGACGGCGUUCUCAUACGCACCAAGUCUCAUUUCUUCUAACUCAUUGAGUUUCAAGAGUCUUUUCUUACCAGCUAGAGUUUGAUCGAAAUUAAGGGCUUUGAUGGCCCAAUAAGCUUUGUGCUCUAACUCUACUGGCAGAUGACACGCCUUGCCAAAGACCAAUUGAUAAGGUGACAACCCAAGAUGCGUUUUAAACGCAGUCCUAUAAGCCCAAAGAGCGUCGUCUAACUUCCUAGACCAAUCUUUCCUAGAAGACGCUACAGUUUUCUCCAAAAUUUGUUUCAAUUGACGGUUGGACACCUCUACUUGACCACUAGUUUGAGGGUGGUAGGGAGUUGCAACUUUAUGUUUAAUGUUGUACUUUUUAAGCACCGUUUCAAGAAAGUUGUUACAAAAGUGCUUCCCCCCAUCACUGAUCAAGACUCUAGGUGUUCCAAACCUAGUGAAAAUAUUUUUCCUUAAAAAAUUGACAACUGUCUUGGAAUCAUUAGCAACACAUGGUAUUGCUUCAACCCAUUUGGUGACGUAGUCAACACACACAAGUAUAUGGAGAUAAGAGGAAGAGGGAGGGAAGGGUCCCAUAAAAUCAAUGCCCCAACAGUCAAAUGGUUCAACUUCAAUGAUUCCCGUUAGGGGCAUCUCAUUCCUCUUAGAAAUACUACCUGUUCUUUGGCAAUUGUCACACCGCCUCACAAAAUCAUGGCAAUCCUUGAAAAGAGUAGGCCACCAGAACCCGCUUUGCAAGACUUUCGCAGCGGUUCGUUCGCCGCUAUGGUGGCCCCCAUAGGCUGAGCUAUGGCAAUGCCACACAAUGUUUUUGAUCUCUUCACCUGCAACACAACGUCUAAUCAAACCGUCAGUGCCUACCUUGAACAGAUAAGGAUCAUCCCACAAAUAGUGGUUUGCAUCCUUGAAAAACUUUUUCCUUUGAUGUUGCGCCAUGUCAUCCGGAAUUAUGUUCCCGGCCUUGAAAUUUGCCAUGUCGGCAAACCACGGUCUUUCUCUUAUUGCAAAAAGCUGCUCAUCCGGAAAUUCAGCCAUGAUGGCCCCUUCUUUCUUUGUCACCUCGUUGUUUUCAAGCCUUGAGAGGUGGUCAGCCACCACAUUUUCUACUCCCUUCUUGUCACGAAUCUCAAGAUCAAAUUCUUGCAACAAAAGGACCCACCUCAAAAGUCGAGGUUUGGAAUCCCCUUUUGUCAGGAGAUACUUAAGAGCUGCAUGAUCUGUAAAAACAAUGACUUUGGAGCCUAUUAAAUAAGAACGAAAUUUUUCCAACGCAAAUAUUACCGCAAGCAACUCUUUUUCAGUUGUUGAAUAGUUUACUUGACUUUCAUUUAAAACCUUGCUUGCAUAGUAAAUUGCAUGGAAAAAUUUGUUCUUGCGUUGGCCUAGGACUGCACCAACAGCAUAAUCACUUGCAUCACACAUAAGUUCAAAGUGUAAAUCCCAAUUUGGUGCAAUGAUUAUUGGUGCAGUCACCAACUUGUUUUUAAUCAAAGAAAAAGCAUUUAAACAUUCAACAUCAAAAUCAAACUCAGUUUCUUUAACUAAAAGGUUACAGAGGGGCUUGGCUAUUUUUGAAAAAUCCUUUAUAAACCGCCGAUAAAACCCGGCAUGCCCCAAAAAACUCCUUACCCCCUUAACAUUCAUAGGUGGAGGAAGUUUUUCUAUAACCUCUAUCUUAGCUUGAUCCACCUCUAUGCCUUUAGAACUUAUUUUAUGACCCAAAACUAUACCUUCAGUUACCAUAAAAUGACAUCUUUUAAGGACAGCAUUGAGAUGAAACAAGCAUUGAUCAAACGACUUACCAAAUACAGAGAAAUCGUCCAUAAAUACCUCAAUGUUCUUCUCUAUCAUGUCAGAGAAGAUGGAGAGCAUGCACCGUUGAAAGGUUGCCGGUGCACCACAUAACCCGAAGGGCAUUCUCCUAUAAGCAAACACACCGAAUGGACAAGUAAAGGCAGUCUUCUCUUGAUCUUCUGGGGCCACCGCUAUCUGAUUAUACCCCGAAUACCCAUCCAAGAAACAGUAAAAGGCUUGGCCAGCCAACCUUUCAAUCAUUUGAUCCAUGAAUGGAAAUGGAAAGUGAUCUUUUCUUGUUGCGGUGUUCAACCUCCGGUAGUCUAUGCACAUUCUCCAACCAGUGACAGUACGGGUGGGUAUUAACUCAUUUUUUUCAUUUACCACCACCGUCAUUCCACCUUUUUUUGGUACAACAUGAACAGGACUCACCCAUGAGCUAUCAGAGAUAGGGUAAAUCAUACCUGCAUCCAGUAAUUUUAGCACUUCCUUUUUGACCACUUCUUUCAUGGUUGGGUUCAGUCUUCUUUGAGGUUGAACAACUGGUUUGUAUUCAGCCUCCAUGUGGAUUCUAUGCAUACAAUAAGCUGGACUAAUACCCUUCAAAUCAGAAAUCUUCCAACCUAAAGCUCCUUCAUUUUCUCUUAGCACCCUCAUCAAUUUUUCUUCCUCCAAAGGUGUCAAGGUGCUGCUGAUGAUUGCAGGUUUUGAAACAUCCUUGCUAAGAAAGACAUAUUUUAAGUGAGAAGGAAGUUCUUUUAAUUCUGGAAUUUUUUCUUCCUCAUUGCUCAAUGAUUUCGCCCCCAACUUCCCUUCAUUACCCAUUUCUUCGAGUUUGGUGGGUUUAAGCAGCUGCUCAUUUGCUUCAAGUUGCUUAACACAUUCUUGCACCUCAAGAUCUUCGACAAGUUCACAAUUCUCUAUAGAAUUAACAAUUGUCUCUUCCAAAGGGUGUGUUGGUUUGUGUUCACGAGAAUUGUCUUCAACUAUUUCAUCAAUCACAUCAAUCCUGUAGCACUUAGGAUUUUCAGCUCGGUGUUUCAUUGCUUCAAAAAUGUUAAAAACCACUUGUUCAUUAUGGAAUCUCAACAUUAGCUGCCCCAUUUCAACAUCAAUCAAAGCACGGCCUGUUGCAAGGAAUGGUCUUCCUAGAAUAAGAGGCAUAUCUUCAUCUUCAGCUAUAUCCAAGAUUACAAAGUCAGCAGGAAAUAUUAGAUCGUUCACUUUAACUAGCACGUCUUCAAGCACACCAAACGGAUAGGAGAUUGACCGAUCAGCUAAAGUGAGAGUCAUUCUUGUAGGUUUUGGCUCCCCACCUCCAAGCUUCUUCAUCAUUGAAAGGGGCAUCAAAUUGAUGCUUGCCCCUAAAUCACAUAAAGCUCUUCCAAUGUCUACCGGCCCAAUGGAGCAAGGAAUAGUGAAAGCACCAGGAUCUUUAAGCUUAGGAGGAAGUUUCCUUUGGAGAAUGGCACUACAAUUCUCGGAAAGAGAGAUAUUCUCAUCAUCUUUUGGUUUUCUUCUCCCCGUUAACAUUUCUUUCAUGAAUUUAGCAUACACCGGCAUUUGAUCAAGAGCGUCACCAAAAGGAAUAUUCACCUGAAGUUGUGAGAAGAGUUGCAUGAAUUUCUUGAAUUGUCCUUCCUCCUUCUUCUUCUUUUUGGCUAGAUGAGGGUAGGGGAGCUUCACAUAAGAUGGGAUAAUUUGUGGUUCAUCCCCAUCCUUCAAAAUUUGGCUCUUAGACUUUCUUAAGAUCGAGUCUUCAUCUAUUAACCUCUCAUUUUUUUCUCCCUCUGUUUUUUUCUUCUUUUCAUUUUCAACUACACCUUGAUCACUCUCUUUUUCAACUACUUCCUCAUCUUCAAUAUUUUCAUCUACCUCCACAACACUUUCAUCAACUUUAUUGGGAACCUUUGGAACUAAAGGUGCCAAAACCUUUUUACUCCUCAACUCAAUAACAUUGCAAGUUUCAUUUUUAGGGUUCUCUUGAGUAUUUCCCGAGAAUCCCCCUUUGUUCUGUUCAGCCAACUGCUUAGCUAAUUGCCCAAGUUGUGUUUCAAGCAUUUUCCGUGAGGCUUCAUUGUUCUUCCUUUCAAGGUCUUGACUCUUCUUCAUUUCUUCAAAGUUACUUUGAGUCAUUUUCAUGAAAUUCAUCAUUGUUUCCUCAAUACCUGGAGGCUUCCUUGGUUGUUGUUGUUGUUGUGGAUUAGGAAACAAGGGAUUUAAGGUGUUGUUGUUGGAGUAACUCAAGUUAGGGUGCUUAUUCAUGGAGUAAGGGUUUUGCCUUUGAUAGUUCACAUAGUUGGCUUCUUCACUAGCUUCCUCUGGCACACACUCACCAUUAGGAUGGCCUUCACCACACAAAUCACACCGUACUGCAGCUGCUUGUUGUUUGUUGGACAAUUGAUAAGCAUGUACCUCCUUAGUUAAAAUUUCGAUUUGCUUAUUCAUGGCUGCUUGGUUAGCUAGUAUGGAAGUAGUGUCACUCACCCCAAAAACACCUCUUUCUUUCUUUUUCGUUUCAGCACGGUACUCAUUGCUGGCCAUGUUUUCAAUCAGAAUUUGAACUUCGUGAUCAGUUUUUACCCUUAAACUACCUCCAGCCGAGGCAUCUAGAAACAUUCUGUUGCUAUGAGUUAAUCCUUCAGUGAAGAAUUGGAGGUACUGUUUCUCAGAAAACUCAUGUCCUGGACAUCUCUUCAGAAGCAAAUUGAACCUUUCCCAAGCAUCAUAAAGUGAUUCACCUUCACCUUGCCGGAAGCUUGCUAUUUCUUGCUUCUUAUCCAAGUACUUGGACAUAGGGAAAUACUUCUCUAUAAACUUAAGCUCUAAUUCCUCCCAUGUUUGAAUAGUCCCAUUAGGCAAAGUCAAUAACCAGUCUUUAGCUUUACCAAUUAAAGUGAACGGGAAAAGCCUGAGUUUCUUUUGGUCUUCAUUAACAUUUGCUGGAGGAACACAAAACUCACAAGUUUCAGCAAAGUGGCUUAGAUGUUCAUGAGGGCUGAUGGUCCCAGUACCAUCAAACUGUCUUUCCUUCAAUCCAUUCUGAACGGAUGCCUUGAUUUCAAAAGCAACAGGAUUAGCCGGUCUGAACACGUGAGUUAGGCGACCACGGUGAUUUGCUAACCCGUAAUCUCCCAACUUAGGCCUUGCUGGUGGUGGGUCUCCCUCUUCCAUUGUGAUUACCGGAGGAGGGGUGGUUGUUUCAGUUUCAAUAAGUGUCGGAUCUGGUAUAGGUGUGCGUGUACCCGGUGGAACUGACCUUGACACCCGGACAGCUUUCCGGUUAGCUCGUGCAGUCUUUUCAAUUUCAGGAUCGUACUCGAGGUCUUCGGAAUUACGUCUACCUCGCAUAAACAGCAAAAUACCUCAGUAGCACUGCACAAUACAAAAUAAUUAAUGAAUACUGAAACAAGAGAUAAAAAAUUUUAACAGAAAAUAAAUUGCAGAAAUCCUAAUGAAAAAAACGCAAUUGCCUUGUUGAAAUAAAUCAACAGUCCCCGGCAGCGGCGCCAAAAACUUGAUAGAUAAUUGGCAAGUGUACCAAUAACUAUCGAAGUAGUAAUAAAUAUCGUUCCACAAGGACUGUAUUAAUUCCAAUUAUAGCAGGUACGUUAUUAAUUUAGGAUAUGUAAAAGUCAUAUUGAUUGCCCUAGGCAGAUGAUUUUUCGUAUACAAAAAAGCAAAUAAAGAUUGUUUGCAAAGAUGAUUGAGAAGAAUGAUUAAGCCGAUGAAUCCCCUACUGUUCUAUAUGAGUAAUUACCUCCCUUAUUUACUUAUUACUAUUCAUUCUUUACGACGAAUUAACAAAUUGGUUUUGAUCAAUCUCUUGAAUCAAAACCCUUUCCUAAGUUAUAACCUUUUAAUCUCUUAAACCGAUUGAAUAACUGCGGAAGCGAUAAAUAACGUUAAUUCAUAUGUCAUGAUUCUCAAUUUCCUAUCUCUAGGUUCCUAUGUUGAAUCAAACAGAAUUACUAAUUCAGGAUUAAAAGCUAGGGUUAAGAGUCAUUCAAUUCCUAAUAUCAAUUCAUAUAAUUUAAGAAGCUAGGGUUAAUAGUCAUCCGAGCAAUUAUAUGAAAAGCAAUGAACACAAAUAAUUCUGAAUAAAGACUGAAUAAUAUUAUUAAAUAAGAGAGUAUCAACUACUAAUUCAUAUAUUACAACGGUUCAUCAUGGCUCAAUCAUACCGAGAGUUUAGCUACUCAUGGUUUUACGAUUAAUAACAUAAUUGACAGUGAACAUACAUAAUCAGGACCAACUAUGAGUUGGUAUGAGAUUCAGGGCUUGUCCUUCGGUCUUCUGAUGUCCUCUAUGCUCAAAAUCGUACUUCCCCCCGCAAACCCUAAUCCGUGGCCGCAUCUAGCCUUAUAUAGAAAGAUUUUACGAGUUCCAGAAAGCCCAUCAUCGUGCCACGAUACGAUCCAAUCGUGGCACGAUAGCAUCAUUAAUCCUACGUGGCAGCAGACAAAACCUAGCAUCGUGGCACGUUGCGAUUUGCUUCGUGCCACGAAAUUUCCAGUGCUGAACCUUUGUCCCACGUUCACUUAUCGUGCCACGAACCAGCUUCAUCGUGGCACGAUUCUAUAUUCUUAGGAAUUUUCCAUCUUUUUCUCAGUUCGGUCUUUUGAGCUCCUGUUCCUGUUUUGAUCUGAUUUCACCAUGAUUUACAAAUAGUUGACUCUCUUAAUGUCCUAAAAAUGACAAAACAUAACUAAAAGCUAGUGUUGAUGCAACAUCAUCAUUAAUACAACAAAAGUGUGAGAAAGCUUUGAAGGGUGAAGGUUCGUUACCGGUCACCAUGUCACAAGCAGAGAAGACCGAGAUGGUGGACAAGGCCAGGAGUGCCAUUGUCUUGUGCCUCGGGGAUAAAGUUUUGAUAGAAGUAGCAAAGGAACGAACCGCGACAUCGAUAUGGGCAAAGUUGGAAUCUUUGUAUAUGACAAAGUCUUUGGCUCAUCGGCAAUUCUUAAAGCAACAACUCUACUCAUUUAAGAUGGUGGAGUCGAAGACCAUCAUGGAGCAACUUACGGAGUUCAACAAAAUCCUAGAUGACUUGGAGAAUAUUGAGGUGCAACUUGAGGAUGAGGAUAAAGCUAUACUCUUGUUGUGUGCUCUACCGAAAUCUUUUGAAUCGUUCAAAGAUACCAUUCUCUAUGGCAAAGAAGGCACUGUUACCUUGGAAGAAGUUCAAGCGGCUUUGAGAACCAAGGAGUUGACCAAGUCCAAGGACUUGAGAGAUCAUGAACACGGUGAAGGCCUUAGUGUCUCAAGAGGGAAUGGUGGAGGUAGAGGUAACCGGAGAAAGAGUGGUAACAGGUCAAAGCCUGAAUGCUUUAACUGUCACAAGAUGGGUCACUUCAAGAAGGAUUGUCCGGAGAUUAAUGGUAACUCCGCACAAAUUGUCUCAGAGAGUUAUGAGGAUGCAAGUGCUCUGAUGGUGUGGUGUUGUUUGGAGGAUGAAGAAGGUGAUGUGUCUCACCUUGGGAUUGAUGCCUAGUGGAGCGGUAGUCGUCUGGAGAGACGUUAAACACUCAACAUCAGCCUGGAGAGGCGGUGGUAAGAAUACUCAUGAUCUACCUGUUGAGGUGGAGUUUCAAGGUUGAAGACAUAGUGGGAUGUACGCAUUUGCUAGUUGAGGUAGAGUACACUCAGCGUGAGGUGGAGUUGAACACACCGGUAAUGGUACGACUAUGAAGGACCUUGUGUGCUAUGCUCUAUGGUGAGCAAGGGAUUUCUUCAUGAGGUUGAAGAAUGUUUAGCACGGCUUGUGAGAUUAUCCUAAAAGAAUGCCAAGGGUGAUUGGAUGCAAGGUGAUUCUUCAAGGAGGCAGAAGAUGUCCUGCGCUGAAGAUGUUAUGGUGAAUGCUUGUGGGACUACCUAAAAUUCCUAGCGUAGUUGGACUGCAAGGACCUUCGAGAAGGCGGAAGAUAUUCCGAGGGCUGAAGGGGGUUAAGGUGUAUACUUGUGGAUUACUCUAAAAGCCAAGGGUGAUUGGGAACAAGUAGAUCUUCAAGGAAGCGGGAGAUAUCUCGAAUUGAAGAGGGUAUGGUAUAGUCUUGUAGAACUAUCUGAAAUUCCUAGCAUAGUUGGACUACAAGCAUCUUCGAGAAGGCGGAAGACAUUCUGAUGGCUGAAGAGGUUAGGGUGUAAACUUGUGGAGUUACUUGGAGUAGUGGGAAGCAAGGGAAAUAGCAGCAAGGAGGUUAAUGAUUGGCAUCGUCACUGAUUUGAAGUCAAGGUGGAGAAUUGUGAGAGUUAACUCUUAUAAUCAGGUUUCUGCAUAAUCAUGGCACGAUUGAAGGGCAACGUGGCACGAUGGAUGUUUUAGUUUUUUAGGCAAGGCACUGGAAAAAUCAUGGCACGAUGGGGUCGCAUCGUGGCACGAUGGUGCGCUGGCAGAUAAAAAUAAAACGUAUUUUUGGGUACAGAUUUGUUACAGAUUUUAAGCAGAUUUGUUACAGAUUUUAAGCGAGACUUUUACUAUAAAUAUAGACCUUUUAUCAGAGCAGAGAGAGAGAUGGAGUGUUGAUUCACCUUGGAAACACUAUUAGGGUUGAGUCUCUUGGUUACGGGAAGUGAUUGGGGCUUUGGGUAGAAUUAGGCGGGAGACUUAUUCUUGUAACCCAUUGAUUUCUCUUUGCAACGUUACUCAUCAUAUAGUGGAUCGGAGGGCUGCUCUCUCCCCCAGACUAGGUCAAUUUGGACCGAACUGGGUCAACAAAUUCUUUUGUGUUCUCUAUUCUUUUUCUUCUUGCUGCUGUUGUUUUCUACUUUUGGCUUGUGAUUAUAACUGUUCCAUACACUUUGUUUGGUUGCUUGUUUAUCCCUUGCUCCACACAUCAAGUUGUUAUUGGUGUGAUUUUUCUCGUCGAAUUCGCAACAUAUAUGAUAGAUUUUGUUUCUCUUUCUUACUCUUCGGUCUUCAUACAUAUCUUGAUAUUUUUUGAAUGUUUUUGGAAAGACAUGGGCUCAACUUACUCUUCGGUCUUCAUACAUGUCUUGAUAUUUUUUGAAUGUUUUUGGAAAGACAUGGGCUCAACUUACUCUAUUGUUUAGAUUGGUCAAAUGUUGUAGCUCGAUUUUUUAUUUAUGUAAUGUUUGUUUUUCGUUUUUCUUACUAUAUUAUUGUCUUAUUUUAUGAUCAUCGUGUGCUUAAAUAUUUGAUUUUGGUUCAUCUUCACUUCUCCAAACAAUUCUAGGGUGAUAUUUUUUAGGCUUAAUUACAUUUUUGGUCAUCUAACUAUUUAGUUGGUAUCGGAUUGGUCCUCUAACUAAAAAUUGAUUUAUUUUGGUCCUCUAAGUUUCUCACCGUUACUACAUUUAGUCAUUUCUAUUAGUUUUAUUCAAAUAAACGUUAGGGUUUGUGUUAUAUGGGUACCUGACCUCCUAUUUCACACAUACAUAUGAACCAUAACAAUUACCAAAAAUAUCCGUCACUAUUUAAUCAUAAUACCUUAACAAGGAAUAGGACCAAAAUGAUGCUAAUAAAUAAAGUUAGAGGACCCACAUAACACAAACCCUAACGUUUAUUUGAAUAAAACUAACAGAAAGGACUAAAUGUAGUAACGGUGAGAAACUUAGAGGACCGAAAUAAAUCAAUUUUUAGUUAGAGGACCAAUCCGAUACCAACUAAAUAGUUAGAGGACCAAAAAUGUAAUUUAGCCUUGUGUAUGAUAGUUUUUGUUUCUCUUUCUUACUUUUCAUGUCCUAAUCUUUUCUUUUACAAGAUAUGGACUCAACUUACUCUAUUGUCUAGAUUGGCUAAAUGUUUUAGUUCGACUUUUUAUUUAUGUAAUGUUUGUUACUCUAUUUUUCUAGAUUUAUUUCCAAUGAUAUUACUUAAUGUCUAUCUGACUAAUUUUUCAUGGGAAUGAUAUGAUAAAAGAGGCUUCAAUUUUUUCUUUUGUAAAAUAUCCUCCUUCAUUUUGUUGCAAUCGAAGACACAUAACAACAUGUUUGUUGCAUAAACUUUUUCCUCUUCUAAAAUAUCUUCCUUCAUUUUGUUGAAAAAUCAACAAGAACCAUGAAAAUGUUAUGGUGCCAUUGUUAACUCCCCUGAUCAUUUAGAUAUACACACAUAAGUAAGACAAUAUUUUAAGAAUUAAGAAUACAAAUACCAAAAUUGGUCUCUGCCUCCAAUAAUGAAGCACGUACAACAGACAAACUCGGAUACGUCAAAGAGUUGGAGCAACAAACAAUACUUGAAAUACUUCAUUUCAGAAACAAAUAACCUAUGAUAAAAAAAAACAUAUCCCAAUUAGGAUGAUGAGAUAUCAGGAAAUUUCAUAAUAGAUUACUUCAAAAAAGCCAUCUCUAUCGAGACGAUUUAACUUCGUUCUCCUUACACAGUACACACUAACUAGACCAAUCUGGUAAAUCCAACUUAGCUUGAAAUUUUGGUGAAAAAUCUUUCAAGCAUUCACACAUUGAAACACCAUUAAUAUUGCAGCCAUCAAAAUCCUUCACGCUCGUGCAAAGGACAAGAAACUGUAGGUUCCCAAUUUUCUGCAUAUCUUACAAUGGAAAACAUUGUAAAUUACCAAGUAGUUCAAGCACAAAUCUAGUAACAUGCUCAUUCAAAUUUGAUGAAAAUGGAGUUGGAUAAAAUGUAAUCUUUUAAGUCUUCUUUGCAUCUCUUGAAAUUUUUGUUCAGUUGACAGAGGAAAAUCAGGAUUCUCAACUAAAUUGAAAUCAUCCUCAUUGUUUUCACUGUAGACAUGUAUGACAGACGACUUGAGAAUCCUCUUAGUGAUCCAGUCAUGGUAAACCAUGCCCCGUUCAGAAUCAUAUGGCAUGAGAUGUUCAAUCUCACAUAAAAUCUCCACAUGGUUCCACUCAUUCUCUGAGAAUAUACCCUCCUUAUUGCAUUGUAGAUCACAACAAAGCUUUUGGUGCGUCUUUCUUUUUAUAUAAUAUAUGUAUUCAGAUGAAGUAGAGAGUUGCUUAGUGCCAUUGAUGAGUACAUUCAACUUGAAAUCCAACACCACGUUGUCAAACAGCUCUCCAAUUUCAAAAAAACAGCAUAGAGCAAUCCUGGGGAACUUUUUUCGAAACCAAAAAUGCACUGGCGAUUCGUUGCUUCUACUAACUUUAUCCAUAAUUAAUCUCGCACGAUGAAUCGGGUGACAAAAGAGACGAUAACCAAUAUUUUUGAGUUUAUGCCCAUCUUGAUUCCACGAAGGACUACAUACUUCUAUGACAUUGUUGGUACUUACAUUAAGAGAAUACACAUUAAGGAAGGACUUCCCGUAUUCAUUAUAAACACACAUGGCAUUUGCAGACACUUUUGGACCAACUUUUUCUACAACAUUUGAUGAUCGAAAUCCGCUAACCUUAUUCGAUAUUACUAUCUCAGAUUUUGGCAAUACGUAGCUUGGUAUCUGAAUCGUCCUUUUGCAUCUCCUCAAAAACAAACUUUGGAGCCCAACUAGAUUUCCAAUUGUAAAAGGCAAUUCGUAUAGGUUAGUCUCAUCUAAAUAAACAUCUUUUAUAUUCUCCAUCACUCCUAGUACUUCUGGGAAGCUCUCAAGACGCGAGCAACCUCUAAGAUCUAAUGUCUCUAGAGAUGGCAAGUUCAUGCACGGAACCAAACGGUCUAGUUGUGUGCAUCCUUGAGCACUUAAUAACACAAGCUUGGCAAGAAAACCAACUGAUUCAUGGAUUCUAAAUAAAUUAGUGCAGUAAUCAAGACAUAAUGACCCCAAAUUUGGUACUCUAGAUAAGCUAGGUAUUUCAGUUAGGAACUUGCAGUCUUGAAAAUCAAGAAAAAUCAAUGUCUCGAAAACCUACACACAAAAAUAGACAAAUCAAAUUAUUGGUUUCAACUGGUCAUAAAUAUUAGUUUAAGGCCAACAAUACAAGCUCAGGAAUAAUUGUGUGUGUGAAAAGAAUACAUACCUUUAGUGAUUCAACCCGUUUAAGGCAACUUUCAGCCAGGUUAAGUAUUAUAAGAUUCUUGGGAUUAAAAUCAGAUGGUAAAGAGGAUGAUUGGUAUCCAUGCCAAUCAAGCAAUCUCAAACUACUUGGAAGAACUUGGGGAUCUCUGGAAAAUUGUGCGUUUCCAAUUAUAAGAAUUUUCAAAUUCUUCAUCUGUCCGAAGGCUUUUCCACACCAUUUGACUUUUCUUGCUUCGCAGAAGUCAGCGAUUAUGACUUCAAUUGUAUCAGUUCCCUUGCCAUUCCAAAUCACAAUCCAAACACAAAUUAAAGGUUGAGAAUUUGUGAUCUAUAUUUUUGGUUGUAUACACAAAUGUCUAAAUCAUAAUGUCUUUGUCUUCAAGCAAAUCAAUUUCAUCAAACAUUUUCAGUUGAGAAUGGUAAACUAACAAUCCUAUAAACUAAGGGUGUGUUUGGAUUGAGGAUUUAAGAGGGGAAGGCAGGGGAGGGUUUACUUUUCUUCCCUCCUAAACCCUCCAUCCAAACACACCAUAACUGAUACAUAUUAAUCAAAACUUAUGAUGUAAGCAAGCAAAGAUGGGAUAUACUAACUAACAUACCUUAUUUUCUUCCAAAACAUGAACAAUGUCAUCACUAAACCAUAAUCUACUGCGUCUUCCAGGCUCCAACGUUGAUUCCUGCCUCACAAUUUCUCUGCCCAUGUCUUGAAUCAAGUCAUGCAUUCUCACACAACCAUUGGUAUCAAUUUUCAUGAGAGAUUUGUCAGUUAACUGUUGUAUGCCAUCUUCCGCAUGAAAACCAUGUAAGUAUAGUAUUUCUUUGACAUAGCCUAUUUCAGAAGAAUUAAAGAAACAAGCUAUGUCUAAAAAAAUACCCUUCUCAUCUUCUUCCAAAUCAUCAUAGCUAAUUUUCAGAAUUGCAUGGAUAUCUUUGGGAAGGACUCUUUCAUAUUUAUCUAAUGAGGAUUUACAUACAACUAAACUUUUUCCAAACAAUUGAGAACCAAUCACCUCCAAAGCCAAUGGAAGACCCUCACAAUAAGAUACUGCACGUUUUGCAAUAUCCACAUAACCAGGAUAAUUUUUUUUGUCUUUAAAUGCAUGCCAACUAAAUAAUUCAAGAGCCUUUUCAUCUUUUAGCUGUCUAACCUCAUAUACUUUCACAAUCCCAUGAGUGGCCAACAAAUGCUUGUCUCUUGUAGUGAUUAUGAUCUUGCUUCCGAAGCCAAACCAAUCGGGUGCUCCUACAAGUGCACGUAACUGCUGCACUUUGUCAACAUUAUCAAGAAUCAAAAGGACUUUCUUUCUUUUAAGCCUCGCUUUAAUCAUUGACAUUCCUUUGUAAACAUCUCCCACUUUAAUACCCUUUUCCCCGAAUACUUCAGAAAGCAGUGUUUCUUGUAGCUGUGCCAGAUCAUGAUUAGUUGCCCUCUCUCUUAUGUCACCAAGAAAACAAACACCUUCAAAUUGAUCAGCAGACAAAUUAUGCAGAGCACGAGCAAUUGUUGAUUUUCCUAUUCCUCCGAUUCCAUAAAUGCCUACCAUGUUCACUCUCUCAUCAGACUUAAAUUCAAGGAGAGAUGCCACUUCUAUUAUCUGAGACUCCAACCCAACUGGGUUGUUUGCAACAUGCAAAGGAACACGGUUGAUCCUUAUAGACACAUUUGCAACUAUCAUUCUAAUAAAUUUAUAUUCUUGUUGAGACCUGCACAUUACAGUAGUACGUAUAAAUUGAAACAGUCAUUUUAUGUGAUUCAACCAAAACUAAUCAUAUAACAUAGAUAGGACUACUUCUUCAUAAUGUUUCCUUCAACUAGAUUUAUAUGCUUACUAGUAAUGAUCCGUGCGAGAUUUCAUGAAUGUGGGAAAAAAAUAACAGAAAAUAGAUGUGUGAAAUUAGGUCAAAUGUCAUCAGGGAAAAAAAUUCUUACAAUGAAUAUCUUAUGAUAAAUUAUUAUAAUUUUUCAAUUAGGCAAUACGUAGAAUUAAUGUACUGUUUAACUACUUGACCAAAAAAAAAUGUAAUGUUUAACUACUCUGGUCCAUUUUGUAAGUUUACCCAUGAAUCGCAAACACAUUAAUGACAAAUGGGCGAAGGCAAAGCUCAAAGAACACACACUCUUGUUCCACUAUACUCAAGCAAUUAUAAGCUUUAUAGUACUUACACUUUUGAUCGAGGUGUCAGUGUUAGUGAUUCAUAGUAUAUCAUGAAUAUGAGUCAUACUCAACUUAAUAGAAUAGAUAGAUUUUUUGUUUCUUUUUUUAUCUGCAACAUCCUAAAUAGAUUCAAUUAAAAAGGGAAAAUUACAAAAGUUGGGGAACAUAUAGUCUAACUUAGUAAAAAAACAAAAAAGAAAACACACGACAGCUCAAUAGAGUUCAAGAUCACAAAACUGAAUCCGAAAUAAAUCCGUAUACAGGCACGAAACCAAAUUGCAAAAAUGAGAUACAUAGUUGACGAGCAUUAGACCAGAUCUUCAAAGCGGGGGGGAGUGGAUCUGACCACCAACACGGUAACUAACAAAUCCACACGCAAAAAACUAUUUAUUGCGAUGAAUCAAAAAUUAACAACCUUUUCUGGCCUAAUUCAUUCCAGACUCCAGUACCGGAGUGUAAGUAAACCUGAAUCUUUGAGACCUGCAUAUCUCAACAUAUCUAGAACAUAAUUGUCGAUCAGGAAAGCUAAACACACCCAGAUUCACGAGAGCAACAAACACAGAUUGAGGGAUGAGUCCAACAUGUAAAAAUCAAUAGAUAAUUGCGGGUUUUAGCAGAACCAAGGGCGGUGAAGUUGGCUGCUUCAAACCCUAGACGCUAAAUCCUAAAUUCUACAAAACAGGAUGGUGGAAAACAAAAUAAUAACAAAAAGGGUAUAAAAAAAAUUUAAAAAAAAUGAAUAAUAGGAUGGUGUGAAGUACAUACCCCGGUUGGAAAUGCCAUCCAGAGAGACUAGCAGCUUGCCGCAAAGCGUCCCUCCAUUUCUGCACCUUAUCCUUCUCAUCUCUAAACCUUACCUCAUGUUUUGCAAAAGCUUCAGCAUAAGUUCCCGUUAGGUUUCGAAUCUGGGUUGGUUCUACAUCAUAAAAAAUCGGCAAAAACCACCUUCCUUUUGACUUUGAACACUCAAGAAUGGUAACAAGUUCAGUCAAACAAAAAGUUGAAGAUGCAUAGUUAGGGGACAAAAUAGCAAUGAAAAUCCUAGAUUCUUUAAUGGCUUUAAGAAGAGUGGGUGUUAUUUCUUCUCCUUUUUGUAUUUCUUCAUCGUCAAUGAAAGUUUGUAUUCCGCUUUGAUUUUGGAGAGAGUUGUAGAGAUUACCAGUGAAGUUAUUUCUAGUAUCAAUGCCUCUAAAACUAAGGAAAACAUCAUAAGUCCAGUUACAUGUGAAGGAAGACAAAUAAGGAAGUGUUAGUUGUUCCAUGAUACACGAGCCUUUUUUUUCUCGUUGAUUUCUCUCUAAAUUGUCUCCUUUUGUCCUUAUUUCAAAGGAAUUAAAGUGAUGGAAGUGAGAAAGAGAGAGGAAGGAGGGGGGAACUUUCUCGUUAGGAAUCGCAAUAUAAAAAAGUGAACCAAGAAAUAGUAAUUUAUAGAGCAAACGUUGAAAACUCUCAACAAAAAAAGAAUAAACAUUGAAAUGCUUUCGGCGAUAUAAACUUAUACUCAUUUUAAAAUUUAAAUAUUUAUACUCUCUUUUGUAAACUAAAUUUGACUCGUUCUAAUGAUAUAAUUGUGUUUUGAAAAUAGCUUUUUUUGAUAUACAAAACUUUCUAAAAAUACAUAGAAAUUAUUGAAAUAUCCUCAGCGGUAGUUAACUGCCGCUGCAAAAAAUCGACGGUAGUUAACUACGGCUGAACCCAAUGAUAGUAAACUACUGUUGCAAUGAAUUUAAAAGAACACAGAAACUUCAGCUUCUGUUACAGAAGCUUAAACAAAACAAACUCAAUUUCACCCCAACUUCGAUUGCACAAAUUUGACCUCAAUUUCUUCAAGUAAGUCAUGUUAAUCCUAUUUACACUAGUGAAAAGACGGGUAGUCACGUGCCCAUCUUUCCGCUCUUUUUAUUACGCUAACGUUUCAAAAUUAUGAGCGGUGUUUUUUUUAUAAAUUUUUUAUUUUGAUUAAAAUUAAAGAUAUAAAUAUUUGUUGAUUUCAAGUUACAAUAAACCAAACUAACCAUGAAUAUCUAUUUCAAUGACAUCAACCAUAUAACAAAAAAUAUAAUCUAAUUUUUUUUAAAUGACACCAACAACAAUCUUUAUUAUAUAAAAAGUUGUUUAAGGGUAUAAUUGAAAUAAUAAAAAAGUAAGUAUAAAUAUAUUCAUCUAGUUUGUUAUACUUUCGAAAUGAUAAAUGAAAGAAAACCAAACAUAUAUAUUCAUAUCGUGUUUGUUACAUUAUUUUUAUUCUUAUCUAUUUGUUAUAUGUAUUAUUUGUAUUAAAAUUUGAGAGCAUUUUUGAAAAGAGAAAAGUCGGCCCAAAAAAGCUGAAAGGGGUUGUUUUCUUUAUAUAUAGUAUAGAUGUAAUUUAGGUUGUUUAGGAUUUUUUUCCUUAAUUUUAGCAAAAUGUUAUUGUUUAGAUUAGGUUUGAAAAUUGCAAGAAAAAUAUUAAGGAUGAGUGUUGGAGAUUGAUAUUUUUCUGGUUUAAUAAUUACUUGUGUUUGUAAUUUUCUGUCAUAAUUAGAUUGUUGCUUAUUUAGCAAGUGAAAAAGUCUCUAGGUAAUAAUGUAUACGGUUCUUAGGUAAUGAUGACUAAUGUUUGGCAAGCACUUCAGUGCCAUAGUAAUAUGGUGCCAUUGUGCCAUAGGACCAAUCAUAUUUUAUUACACGUGUCAAGGCUUAUUAAAAUAAUAAAAAAAAAUAAAAAACAAGUUUAAAUGAAAUAAAUAAAAAACGCGAUGGAGAAAAACAAAACGUAGAAUACGAUUGCCGCUCUUUCUUCUUGCCACUUCAAGCAGCAGCAGUGACACUCACCUCAACUAGUAUUCACGCGUCCGCCUCCGAUGACCACCUCCGCCGCUAGGGAUGGCAAUGGGUACCCAAUGGGUAGGGUACUAUAGUAUCCAUCCCCAUACCCGCGUUUGUAAAAAAUGCCCAUACCUGUGCCCGUACCCUCGUGGGCAACAACUUUAGUGCCCUUUCCUAUACCCUAUGAGCACUUAAGUGCCCAUACCCACACCAAUUACCCGCACUUUAGCCAUAAAAAGAUAAUAAAAAUUACCACACUUGAAAUAAAACUGUGAUCCAAUUUUUUUUAAAUCAACUUACGAAAUAAUAUGAAUCGUAAUAUUUAGCCAAAUAAAAAAACAUCCAAAAUAUUCCUGGAAAGAAAAAAAAAUAGAUACCUUACAUCAGUUAUACGUUAAAAAGUUGUAGUUGCAUGUUAAAAUCAUAAUAAAUUGUUUAUUAAAGUUUUUAUUAAUUUGUUUUAGGUUUAAGGUUAGGCUUAAAUAGUUAAAUUUAUUAAUUAAUUGUACACCAAAAAUAAAUAAAUUAUUUAUAAUAUUAUAUAAAUACAUAUAUGCGUGUUGCGGGGUUGGAUAGUACAGUGCCCAUACCCGUGUCUAUACCCAUAUAAAUUUGCGGGUAAUUACUCAUACCCAAGCCCGGACCAUGAAAGUGGGGUUUUACCCUACCCAUAGCGGGUAUUUUUUGCGGGUGCCCAUAUGGUCUGGGUCCAAUUGUCAUCCCUAUCCGCCGCGUCGUCGCUUGAUAGUCUGGCAUCGUAAGGUUCGUUUCUUUCUUCCUUAUCUUUUUUUUUUCUUCAUCUUUUGAAUAGUUAUGGUCAUGAGAACAAACAAAAAUCAAAAUCAAAAUUAAAAUAAGGAUUAACUACACUUGAUUAGGGAAAGAAAACAAACCUUUUGAACCAAUUUCAAUUAUGUAGGAUUAGAUUUUAAGAAAUUUAGGGUUUUAUUUUAUGAUUGAAGUAAACCCAUUGCAAGGGGUAAAUAUGCUCUGUUUUUUAGGAGCAAUACAUAUGCUCUGUUUAAUAGCUAAAACAUUAGAUGAAUUAGGUUUUUUAGGAGCAAUAAAUUUGCUCUGUUUUUUGGUCUGAUGUAUGAGUAGGUACCUUCAUUUGGAUGUAUUGUUAACCUGUUCAGUGACACUCCUUGUUCUUACCUCCUUUAUUUACUUGUCAGGUACCUUCAUUUGGGUAUUUGACAUGGCUUCUUCAAAUGAGGAUUGGAAGCCAAGACUUGGAAUGGAAUUUGACACUAGAGAAGAGGCUGAACAAUUUUAUCUUGCUUAUGGUUUACGUGAGGGCUUCGGAGUUAGAGUACGCUUUACAAACAGGAAGAAAGACGGUAGUGUAUCGUCAUGUAGGUUUGUUUGUUGUAAGGAAGGAAUACGGAAGAAAGAGGAUAAAUGUGCAUAUGAAGGAAAAAUUCGGAGAGGUGAGACUAGAACGAAAUGCUUAGCAAAAAUUACACUUUCAAGUAAAAAUGGAAAGUUGGUUAUCAAUGAGUUUGUAGAAAACCAUAACCAUGAUCUACUAAAUCGAGAGACAACACACAUGCUUCGAUCACAUAGAAAGAUAACUGAAGUACAAGCAUAUGAGAUUGAUAUGGCUGAUGACUCUGUAUUAAGGCAGAAGGAAAUGUAUCAACUUAUGAGCACACAUGCAGGGCAUAGCGCUAAUGUUGGAUUUACAGAGGUGGAUGUACGAAACUAUAUCACUACAAAAAAGACAAAGAAGUAUGGUGUAUGGUGAUGCUGGAUAUCUUUCACAGUAUUUUCAACGACAGUUGUUGGAGAAUCCGUCCUUCUUUUAUGCAUAUCAGAUGGAUAUAGAUGAACAGAUUACAAAUGUGUUCUGGUGUGAUGCAAAUAUGAUUUUGGAUUACGGGUAUUUUGGUGAUGUUGUUUCAUUGGACACUACAUAUUGUACCAACGAUGCCAAUAGACCGCUUGCUUUUUUUUUUCUGGUUUCAACCAUUAUAGAGGUUCGAUCAUUUUUGGUGCAGCUCUAAUGUAUGAUGAGACAAUUCCAUCAUUUAAAUGGUUGUUUGAAACAUUCUUACAAGCACACAACAACAAAAAACCAAAGACGAUCUUCACUGACCAAGAUCAAACAAUGUCUAGGGCACUUGAAGAAGUGAUGCCUGAGACUCACCAUGGUUUAUGCACAUGGCACUUGUUGCAGAAUGGAAUUAAACAUCUUGGAAACAGGAUGAAGAAAGGAGCUUCUUUGCUAACAGAUUUCAGCAAGUGCAUGUAUGAGAUUGGCAUUGAAGCAGAUUUUGAGAAAGCUUGGUUUGACUUGGUCAAUGAACAUAAUCUUCAUGGAACAACUUGGAUCAACUCAGUUUAUGAAAUAAAUAAAAAAUGGGCUGCAUGUUAUAUGAAGGAAGCAUUAACACUUGGCAUGCGAAGUACACAAGUUAGUGAAAGUUUGAAUGCUCACUUUAAAUGUUGUCUAAAACCGAAUUUGAGUAUCCUGCAAUUCUUCAAACAUUUCGAAAGAGUUGUUGGGGAGAAGAGAGAAAAAGAACUGAAAUGUGAUUAUGAGUCCUCACAUAAGCUUGCAAGGUUAGUGUAUGAAACUUCACCAUUACUAAUCCAAAUGGGAAAGAUAUACACACACACACACACACACACACACACACACACACACACACUAUAUUUGAGUUGUUUCAAAACGAGUUUAAGUUAUUCUUGGCUUUGUCUGUACCCAUUAGACAUGAAACUGACUCUCUAUGUGAAUAUGUCAUCACUAAUAAGAAACAUGAAGGAUCUUUUAGAGUGUCAUUUAAUCGUGUUUCAACUUCAAUUACUUGUAGUUGUAAGAAGUAUGAAACAUUUGGCAUACUUUGUUCGCAUGGAUUAAAAGUGUUUGAGUUGAACGAUGUUAAAGUGAUUCCUGAUAUGUAUAUUUUAAGAAGAUGGACAAGAGAAGCCCGUUGUGGCAUUGUGCAAGAUUUUAGGGGAAAAGAGGUUGAACAAGAUCCUAAGUUGUCUAGAAAUCGAAUGUUCAGACAAGUUUUCUCUAAGUUCAUUAGAGCGGCAACUGUAGCAGCAUCGAUAGUGAAGAAAGUCUCAUGUUUGUUGAUAAAAGUGUAGAUGAAAUGUUCAAGAAAGUAAUAGAAUGUCCAACACAAGGUAGAGACAAUGACAAUGAUCAUCCAUCAUUUGUGAGUUAUGAUGCUAUGCAAUCAAAGGGAUUCAAGAAACAACCCAGCUCAAAGGGAACUAAGCGACAUAAAAGUUUCCUUGAGCGUCAGCCCAAGAAAAGAAGUGCUCCUCCAAGUAAACACGCUCAAUCUAGCCGUGUCCCACCUCAAAGAAGUUCACAGGUAUAUAAGUCGAUACAUAGAUUACUUGUUUUAGUUUUACAUGUACUUUCACUUAUUUUAAUGUUGCAUAAUCAUUUUAGGUUAGAGAAUUAACAACUAAUAUGGUCAAUGGAGUAUCUUGUUCCGCGCCUCCAACUUAUGAGCCCCCGCUAGCACGUGGGGGUAUGUUUGUUAGUUACACAACUAUGUUGAUGGUAAUUUCAUUUUUUUUUUUUUCAUAAGGAACUAUUCUUAUACUAAUUAUUUUUCAUCACACAAUCAUGAUUCUAAUUAUUUUUUGUUAUUAAUGUAGGCACCUUUUGAUGAUACAAAUAUUGGAGCAUUACUUUGACCUUCGAUCUCAAUCGAAAGAAACGGAGCUGGUUAUUUUUUGAAAAUUAUUAUGUGCAGUUAGUUUGCAUCUACAAGGUUGUAUUUGGAGCUGAUUAAGUCUCUGUUAGGGGAGUAUUUGGUAACUGUUUUUUAAUGGCGGCUGGCAGCUACUGAGAGUGAUUAGAAUUUUGGUGUGUCUCCUGCUGCUUGGAUUCGUACAGCUCUGUUGGUGUGUUCUCAGGGGCUGUUUUUGAUGCUUGGAUAUGCUUGGCUGGGAAUAGUGGAUUUUUGCAUUUUGACAGUUUCCAUUAGGGACUGUUUUUAGUUGUUCAUUUCUAGCUCUGUUCCUUAAUUGUAUAUGUUAGCAUCAUGUGUAGCUUUUGGGCUUCUUAGUGUGGAGUUGUAUUUUUUGUUGGGAGUAUCUAUAGGUGUUCCGUAUAAAUGCGGCACCUUGAUUUGUUCCGGUUUUCUUUGUUUUAUCCGCGAGCAGUACCGUUUUAGUACAUCUCAUCGUGAAUAAUAUUAGUUGAUUCAAAAAAAAAUAUAUAUAUAUUAUGUACUCUUAGUUUCAAUUUAGUGAAUUGUGUGUAUGCUUUGGUCAUAGCAUUAAUUGUAAAGUGCAGUUAUAAAAGUGGACUGAUGUAGCAAAAUAGUGUAAACUAGUUAGUAAUUUUGCACUAACAAUUCAAAUCCUUUAUAUACAUAAAUUAAUUGUGCAAUAUUGUAAAGAUAGGCUAAGCAACCUUUAUUUUGUAACAGACUGGUGUUGUUUCAGCACACAGUCCUAACUCCUAACCAACUUUGGAGUAACCAAUUUUGUUUUCCUGAAAGUCCAAACAAAGCCCCUACAACCAUCCUAAUUCAACCAAAGUCCAAAGGUAGUGAUGAUGCUAACAUAUACAACAAAGUAACAGAGGAUCCCAGCCACAAGCACAGCCGCAUAAAGGCACAACAAAGCACCAAAACUCUCUAAAACCCAGCCUAGUAUAUCCCAGCCUCAAAACCAGCCCCCAAGUUAUGGAUACUGUGCACAAAAAUCACAAACAGCAAACCAAAACCAGUCGCGCAAAAAACACAAACACAAACUUGUUAUAUUAGUAUACCAUUAUUCUACAAUUGAUUCAAAACAGCACCAAUACCAUUGUUUUCAAUCAAGAGUAACCAUUGUUAUGAAGAAAUAAUGAGAAAGCAUAAUACUAACCAAAAAAAAAUGAUUUCAUUGAUGGAUAAAACUUAAUUUCAUAUACACAUUGAGAUCCAAAUUACAUGACAGCGACUUAAUCUAAUAUACAUGUAAUAAAAAAUGAAUUAAUUGAAUACACAUAACAAGAUCUAAGCCUUCUUUAGAGACUUUCCUUCCCAAUAGCAGCUGUCCAGUCUUCUUGUUCAAAAUCCUUCAAACAGAUCCAACCUUCCUGCAACCCUUGACACACCAAAAAUCAUCUUGAUAAGCCAAAAAUCUUAUUCACCAAAACAACAUGGAUUCAAUCGAAUACGAGAAUGAGAAGGAGGGAUGUGAAUAGCCGGCGGCCUGUGAUAAAUUGAUGUUCAACAGUGUGGUGGAGGGUGGUGGUUGAUGGUUAUGGCGGCGGACGGCGAAGAAAACCGGUGGUGGGUUCUGGAUCGCGUUUGCUGGAAGGGAGAAAGAACAUGUUUUUCUGCAUCGCGUUUUUUUUAUUUCAUUUAAACUUGUUUUUUGUUUUUUUUAUUAUUUUAAUAAGCCUUGACACGUGUCAAAAUAUGAUUGGUCCUAUGGCACACUGAAGUUUCCCCUAAUGUUUAGAGUAGAUUUAAUGCAGAUUUUAUGUUCAAUCUUACAAGCAAGCUUAUGGUUUGACUCUAUAUAUUUGUUAAGUAUGAUACAACUUAAUGUAUCAAAGUAUCUCAACUUUUUUACUUUGUUCUCAAAACUUUAUCGUCUUCUCUAAUUUUCUGGUUUUUCUUCUUUCUUGUCCACCAUUUUCACCUUUAGGUCCUUUUUUCUACAAAAAUCUUAGACUCCAACCGUUAUUGCUUUGGAAGACAAGUUCUUGAAGUUCUCUUCUUCUAAGAUUUGAGAAUAGAGAGUCAUAAAAAGGUUCCUUAGGAGUAUUUUACUUCAUUGAUGUUACUGGAAAAGAUCUUCCCUCAUUUCGUUGGAAACAAACUCUUGAUGAUUUACACAAAACAGUUGGUGAGCUACCGUGCAAUACAAUUGUCCUUGUAGUAUUAAUGAAUCUGCUAAAGGCAAGUAAUGCUUCCAACAAAGCAUGCAGAUAUGACUGAAAUGUCAGAUGGUAAUGCAUCAGCUAGCACUCCAAAAUAACCAUGCAAAAUUGGUAAGAUAAUAUUUAGAUAACCAUUGUUAACUCCCCUGAACUGAACAUUUAGAUAUACACACAUAAGUAAGAUAAUAUUUUAAGAAUUAAGAAUACAAAUACCAAAAUUGGUUUCUACCUCCAAUCAUGAAGCACGUACAAUAGACAAACUCUGACACGUCAAAGAGUUGGAGCAACAAACAACCCUUGAAAUACUUCAUUUCAGAAAGAAAAAAAAGAUAUAAAAAUACAUAUCUCAGUUAGGAUGACGAGGUAUUGAGACAAUUUAACUUCGUUCUCCUUACACAGUACACACUAACUACUCCAAUCUGAUAAAUUCAACAUAGCUUGAAAUUUUGGUGUAAAACCUUUCAAGCAUUCACACAUUGGAACACCAUUAAUAUUGUAGCCAUCACAAUCCUUCACACUCGUCCAAAGGACGAGAAACUGUAGGCUCCCAAUUUUCUGUCAUAUCUUACAGUGGAAAACAUUGUAAAUUACCAUGUGGUUCUAGCACAAAUCAAGUAACAUGCUCAUUCAAAUGAAAUUAAAAUGGAGUUGGAUAAAUUGUAAUCUUUUAAGUCUUCUUUGCAUCUCUUGAAAUUUUUGUUCAGAUGACAGAGGAAAAUCAGGAUUCUCAACUAAAUUGAAAUCAUCCUCAUUGCUUUCGCUGUAGACAUGUAUGACAGACGACUUGAGAAUCCUCUUAGUGUUCCAGUCGCGGUCGUCCACGGCAUUUUCAGAAUGGCAUUGCAUGUGAUGUUCAAUCUCACAUAAAAUCUCCACAUGGUUCCACUCAUUCUCUGAGAAUAUACCCUCCUUAUUGCAUUGUAGAUCACAACAAAGCUUUUGGUGCAUCUUUCUUUUUGUAUAAUAUAUGUAUUCACAUGAAGUAGAGAGUUGCUUAGUGCCAUUGAUGAGUACAUUCAACUUGAAAUCCAGCACCACGUUGUGUAACAGCUCUCCAGUUUCACAAAAACAGCAUAGAGCAAUUCUGGGGAAUUUUUUUCGAAACCAAAACUGCACUGGCGAUUUGUUGCUUCUAACCUUAUCCAUAAUUACUCUCCCACUAUGAAUCGGGUGACAAAAGAGACGAUAACCAAUAUUUUUGAGUUUAUGCCCGUCUUGAUUCCACGAAGGACUACAUACUUCUAUGACAUUGUUGGAACUCACAUUAAGAGAAUACACAUUAAGGAAGGACUUCCCGUAUUCAUUAUAAACACACAUGGCAUUUGUAGACACUUUUGGACUCACUUUUUCUGCAUAAUUUGAUGAUCGAACUGCCCUACGAUGAUGCGAUAUUACUAUCUCAACUUUUGGCAAUACGUAGCUUGGUAUCUGAAUCAUCCUUUGGCAGCUCCUCAAGAACAAACGUUUGAGCCCAACAAGAUUUCCAAUUGUGACAGGCAAUUGGUAUAGGUUAGUCCCAUCUAAAUAAACAUCUUUUAUAUUCUCCAUCACUCCUAGUACUUCUGGGAAGCUCUCAAGACGCGAGCAACCUGUAAGAUCUAAUGUCUCUAGAGAUGGCAAGUUCAUGCAGGGAACCAAACUUUGUAGUUGGAUGCAUCUUUUAGCGCUUAAUAACACAAGCUUGUCGAGAAACCCAACUGAAUCAUGGAUUCUAAAUAAAUUAGUGCAGUAAUCAAGACAUAAUGACCCCAAAUUUGGUACUCUAGAUAAGCUAGGUAUUUCAGUUAGGAACUUGCAGUCUUCAAAAUCAAGAAAAAUCAAUGUCUCGAAAACCU
rnacentral:lncRNA from 1 species